GGUGGGGUGGCUGAGCGGUCGAAAGCGACGGUCCUGAAAACCGUUAUACCUGAAAGGGUAUCGUGAGUUCGAAUCUCACCCCCACCG
rnacentral:tRNA from 1 species